ncrna:unclassified sequences malK-I RNA
UCUCACCGCUGCGCGGCACUCCACUUUAUGCCGCCCAGCGGCAAAUGAUAAGGAGGAAUGACCGCUGUGGCUGGCGGUGCGGCAAUGUGGAGACUUGCCGUAAGGCACCACGGGCUUCGCCCGGUGCGAGACCGUUCCAUGCGGAGGCAGAACGGUUACAGCCAAGACGUAUGGCA